UCGAACUAGAAGGGCCAGGUU
rnacentral:miRNA from 1 species